rnacentral:lncRNA from 1 species
GCAGAACAAAUACUAAAUAAUCAGCAGGAAAUAGAGUUGCAUUGCUGUAUGAGAAACUGAAAAAUGAAGCUCCUCACAAGCACAGAACAAAUCAUAGCGUGAUACAGUGAUUCACAAGUACAGUUGCCUGCCUGCCUACGCAUCUUGAUUCAAUUACGGCACUAUCAAAACAACCCAUAGAUCCCCAAGUAUUCAUACAGAGAAACUACAGCUCCCCGUAGCAUAUGUGCAGCGACAUACUUAAAUUUAUGCAACUAAUCACAUCCUAAUUGACCCAGAAACGCCAUACUGUUUUGUUUGCAACAGCAUGUAAAUAGGACCAUCAAAUCUGUGCUUGGAACCGACGGAGGAAAUCGAAGCAGAGUGGUGGUAGAGGGUUGGGAGGCGUACUCGCAGUGGAGGCAGUAGAACUGGCCCAUGCCAGGGAGGUCCUCGUCGACGGGCAGCGGCUUUCCCUCGCAGUCCUUGCCCUGGUCGGCCAGCUUGACGAGCUCGUCGUAGACGGCGUCGUCGGCUUUGACGAGGAACUUGCCGCGGCGCACCGUCUUGCAGUUGAGACGGCGCUUCUUGACCUUGCGGUGCGGGCACUUGCCUCCCAUCGGCGGCGGCGGCGGCUAGGGUUUCGGCUCCGGGGGGAAACGAACCCUGGAGAGCGGAAGUAUGGAGAGAGAGGUAGACGAAGGGGAGAGAGGGUUUGCUAUAGAUCCAUAAGAGAGGCUUGAGUUGACUGGGCCGAGCUCGAAUCCGGUUAUCGUCAAUGUCUGCACAAAUGAGAAGCCCAGUUCCCCCAAGAAAGAAAAAGCUUUCCUUAACCGUCCGAUCUGGCCCAAUUCUAUUAUCCGCGUGACGCAGGGAAGAAAUCGAAAUCAAGUACUCCUUUUUUCAAAAAUCACUCUCACCGCCUCAGGUUGCGACAAGUGAUGCACUGUAUACGUGUUACUUGUCACAACCUUGAAGUUUUUAUUUUUUUCGUAUAUUUUUAUUUUUAAAACGUUUUAUCUCCUAAACCGCGUUUAAAUCUUAAACCAUUUUUACAGUUGAAUUUCUUGUGUCGAGAUCUUCAAAAUUAGAUCCCAUGUUGAUAGGUUUUGAUGAACAUUUUUUUAUGAAAAAGAUAAACAAAAAAAGUACUUCUUAUGAUAAAAAAACAGAAAUCAUGUUUUUUUGUGUUUUUUUUUUUCUGAAAGGCACGCUCAUCAUAGAAGCAAAAUUGUGUCUUUCGCCAAAAAAACACCUUUUUUGUCUCUUUGGGAACCCGGGGUCCGGCUACGUGGUAAUCGUCAAAACUCGUAGUUUUGGUCAAUUCUUGCCAAUUUUCUAUGUCAUUAAUCAAUAAUUUUGGGGUCCCGCUGUAAUUCGAACGUUUGGGAACCCUAUGGCCCGGUUAUGGGAAACUCGUCAAAACUCAUAGAUUUAGCCUAUUGUGGCUAGUUUUAUAUGAUAUUACUCAUUGAUUUUGCAUCCUGUUGCGAUUAAAACGUUCGGGGAAUCCCAUGGUCCGGUUACGGGUAACUCGUCAGAACUCGUAGUUUUGGCCUAUUCUCGCCAAUUUCCUACACUAUUACUAACUGAUUUUGGUAUCCGUUGCGAUUCGAACGUUCGGGCAACCCCGGGGUCCGCUUACGUGGAACUCGUUAGAACUCGCAGUUUUGGCCUAUUCUAGCUAGUUUCUAUACAACUCACUAAUUUUGGGUCCCGUGUGAUCCGAAUGUUUUGGGAACCCCGGGGUCCGGUUAUGGUGAACUCGUCAAAACUCACGCUUUUGGCCUACUCCCGCUAGAUUUCUAUACUAUUACUCACUGAUUUUGGGUCACACUGCGAUCCGAACAUUUCGAAAACCCCGUGGUCCGAUUACAGGGAACUCGUCAAAACUAUUAGAUUUGACCUAUUCUGACCAGUUUUCUAUCCUAUUACGCAGUGAUUCUGGGUCCCAGUGAGAUUCGAACACUCGGGGAACCCGAGGAUCCAGUUACGGGGAACUCGUCAAAACUCGCCGUUUUGGCCUAUUCGGGUCAGUUUUCUAUACUAUUACUCACUGAUUUUGGGUCCGAGUGUGAUCCCAACGUUGGGGAACCCGAGGGUGCGGUUACCGGGAACUUGUCAAAACUCGCAGUUUUGGCCUAUUCUGGCUAGUUUCUAUGCUAUUACUCAUUGAUUUUGGGUCCCGCUGCGAUUUGAACGUUCAGGGAACCCCGGGGUCCGGCUACGGGGUACUCAUCAAAACUCGUAGUUUUGGCUUAUUCUCACCAAUUUUCUAUGCUAGUAAUCAAUCAUUUUGGGUCCCGCUGUAAUUUGAACGCCAGGGGAACCCUGUGGUCUGGUAACGGGGAACUCGUCAAAACUCAUAGAUUUGGCCUAUUCUGGCUAGUUUUGUAUGCUAUUACUCAGUGAUUUUGGGUCGUGUUGCGAUCCAAACAUUCGGGGAACCCGGGGGUCCAGUUACGGGGUAUUUGUCAAAACUCACAGCUUUGGCCUAUUCUCGCAAUCUUUGUAUACUAUUACUCACUCAUUUUGUGUCCCGAGGCGACCCGAACGUUUGGGGAACCGAGGGGUGUAGUUAUGGGGAACUCAUCAAUACUUGCAGAUUUGGCCUAUUUUAGCAACUAUUCUAUCCUAUUACUUAGUGGUUUUGGGUCCCGCUGCGAUCCAAACGUUCAGGAAACCCCAGGGUCCGGUUACGGGGAACUCGUCAAAACUUGCAGAUUUGGGCUAUUAUAGCUAGUUUUCUAUACUAUUACUCACUCAUUUUGUGUCCCACUACAAUCCAAACGUUUCGGGAAUCCUAGGAUCCGGUUAUGGGAAAAUUGUCAAAACUCGCAGUUAUGGCCUAUUACUCAUUCAUUUUGGGACCCGCUACAAUCCGAACGUUCGGGGAACCCUGCGGUCCGGUUUCGGGGAACUCGCCAAAACUCACAGAUUUCGCCUAUUAUGACCACUUUUCUAUCCUAUUGCUUAGUGAUUUUGGGUCCCGUUGCGAUUCGAACGCUCGAUGAAUCCCGAGGUCUGGUUACGAGGAACUCGUCAAUACUCGCAGUUUUGGCCUAUUCCGGUUAGUUUCUAUACUAUUACUCACUGAUUUUGGGUGUCGUUGCGAUCCGAACGUUCGGGGAACCCUGGGGUCUGGCUACGGGGUACUCGUCAAAACUUGCACUUUGGCCUAUUCUUGUCAAUUUUCUAUGUUAUUAAUCAAUCAUUUUGGGUCCCGCUGCAAUUCAAACGUUUGGGGAACCCUGCGGUCCGAUUAUGGAGAUCUCGUCAAAACUCACAAAUUUGGCCUAGUAUGACCAGUUUUCUAUCCUAUUACUUAGUGAUUUUGGGUCCUGUUGCGAUCUGAACGUUUUGGGAACCUCGGGGUCCGGUAACGGGGAACUCGUCAAAACUUUAGGUUUUGGCCUGGCGCAGUUUUCUACGCUUAUUACUCACUGAUUUUGAGUCCCGCUGCGAUCUGAACGUUCAGUAACCCCGGGGUCCGGCUACGGGGUACUCGUCAAAAGUNNNNNNNNNNUAGUUUUAAUACUAUUGCUCAUUGAUUUUAGGACCCGCUACGAACUAAACGUCCAGGGAACGCCGGGGUCCGGUUAUGGGGAACUCGUCAUAACUCGCAGUUUUGGCCUGUUAUGGCUAGUUUUCUAUACCAUUACUCACUGGUUUUGUGAUCCGCUGCGAUUCGAACGUUCGGGGAACCCCGUGGUCCAGCUACGGGAACCUCGUGAAAACUCGUAGUUUUGGCCUAUUCUGGCCAAUUUUCAGUACUAUUACUCACUGAUUUCGAGUCCCGUUGUGAUUCGAACGUUUGGGGAACCCCGGGGUCCGGUUAUGGGGAACUCGUGAAAACUCGUAGUUUUGGCCUAUUCUGGCUAGUUUCCUAUACUAUUACUCACUGAAUUUGGGUCCCGUGUGAUCCGAACAUUUUGGGAACCCUGGGAUCCGGUUACACGGAACUCGUCAAAACUCAAAGUUUUGGCCUACUCUCGCUAGUUUUUUUAUACCAUUGCUCACUUGUUCUGGGUCCCGCUGUGAUCUGAACAUUUUCGGAACACCGAGGUCCGGUUACGGGGAACUCAUCAAAACUCUUAGAUUUGGCCUAUUUUGUCCAGUUUUCUAUAAUAUUACUCAGUGAUUCUCGGUCCCGCCGCUAUUCGAACUCUCCGGGAACCCAAGGGUCCGGUUACGGGGAACUCAUCAAAACUCGCUGUUUUGGCCUAUUGUGGUCAGUUUUCUAUACUAUUACUCGCUAAUUUUGGGUCCCACUAUGAUCCGAACGUUUUAGGAACCUCGGGGUCCGGUUACCGGGAACUCAUCGAAAUUCAUACUUUUGGCCUAUUCUGGCCAGUUUCUAUGCUAUUACUCACUGAUUUUGGGCCCCGCUACGAUCCGAACAUUCGGGGAACCCCGGGGUCCGACUAUGGGGUACUGGUCAAAACUCACAGUUUUGGCUUAUUCUCGAAAAAUUUUCUAUGCUAUUGAUCAAUCAUUUUGGGUCCCGCUGCAAUCUGAACGUUCGGGGAACCCUGCGGUCCGGUUAUGGGAACUCGUCAAAACUCACAGAUUUGGCCUUUCCUGGCCAGUUUUGUAUGCUAUCACACACUGACUUUGGGUCCUGUUCGAUCCAAACUUUCAGGGAACCCCGUGGGUCCGGUUACGGGGUAUUUAUAAAAUCUCACAGCUUUGGCCUAUUAUGGCCCGCUUUCUAUAAUUUUACUCACUCGUUUUGGGUCUCGGGGCGACCUGAACGUUUGGGUAACCAAGGGUGUGGUUUUGGGGAACUCGUCAGAACUCACAGUUUUGGCCUAUUCUGGCUAGUUUUCUAUAUACUUUUACUCACAAUUAUGGGUCCUACUGUGAUCCGAACGUUUGGGGAACCCCGGGGUCCGGCUACGGGGAACUCGUCAAAACUCACAAAUUUGGCCCAUUCUAGUGAGUUUUCUAUCCUAGUACUCGCUAGUUUUCUAUACUAGUACUCACUGAUUUUGGGUCCCAUUGUGAUCCGAACGUUUUGGGAACCUCGGGGUCCAGUAACGGGGAACUCGUCAAAACUUGAAGUUUUGGCCUAUUCUCGCGCAGUUUUCUACGCUUAUUACUCACUCAUUUUGGGUCCCGCUGUGAUCCGAACGUUUAGUAACCCCGGGGUCCGGCUACGGGGUACUCGUCAAAAGUUGCAGUUUAGGCCUAUUUUGUCCAAUUUUCUAUGCUAUUAAUCAAUCAUUUUGGGUCCCGCUGCAAUCCNNNNNNNNNNNNNNNNNNNNNNNNNNNNNNNNNNNNNNNNNNNNNNNNNNNNNNNNNNNNNNNNNNNNNNNNNNNNNNNNNNNNNNNNNNNNNNNNNNNNNNNNNNNNNNNNNNNNNNNNNNNNNNNNNNNNNNNNNNNNNNNNNNNNNNNNNNNNNNNNNNNNNNNNNNNNNNNNNNNNNNNNNCAUUACUUAGUUAUUUUGGCUCAUGUUGGGAUUCAAACAUUUGGGGAACCCCGGGGUCCGGUUACAAGGUACUUGUCAAAACCUACAUGUUUUGCCUAUGCUCGCCAGCUUUCUAUACUAUUACUCACUCAUUUUGGGCCCCGCGGCGACACGAAAGUUCGGGGAACCCCGAGGUCCGGUUAAGAGGAAUUCAUCAAAACUCACGGUUUUGUCCUAUUAUGGUCAGUUUUCUAUGCUCUUACUCACUGAUUUUGGGUCCCGCUGCUAUCCGAACGCUCGGGGAACCCCGGGGUCCGGUUACGCGGAACACGUCAAAACUUGCAAUUUUGGCCUUUUCUGGCUAGUUUUCUAUACUAUUACUCACUGAUUUUGGGACCCACUACGAACUAAACGACUAGGGAACGCCGGGGUCCGGUUAUGGGGAACUCGUCAUAACUCGUAGUUUUGGCCUAUUUUGGCUAGUUUUCUAUACCAUUACUCACUGGUUUUGGGAUCUGCUGCGAUUCGAACGUUCGGGGAACCCCGGGGUCCGGCUACGGGAACCUCGUGAAAACUCGUAAUUUUGGCCUAUUCUGGCCAAUUUUCAAUACUAUUAAUCACUGAUUUUGGGUCCCGUUGUGAUUGAAACGUUUGGGGAACCUCGGGGUCCGGUUAUGGGGAACUCAUCAAAACUCGCAGUUUUGGCCUAUUCUAGCUAGUUUCCUAUACUAUUAGUCACUGAAUUUGGGCCCCGUGUGAUCCGAACGUUUUGGGAACCCCAGGAUCCGGUUACACGGAACUCGUCAAAACUCAAAGUUUUGGCCUACUCUUGCUAGUUUUAUACUAUUACUCACUCAUUCUGGGUCCCGCUAUCAUCCGAACAUUUUGGGAACCCCGAGGUCCGGUUAUGGGGAACUCAUCACAACUCUUAGAUUUGUCCUAUUUUGUCCAGUUUUCUAUCAUAUUACUCAAUGAUUCUCGGUCCCGCUGCUAUUCGAACUCUCGGGGAACCCCAGGGUCCGGUUGCGGGGAACUCAUCAAAACUCGCUAUUUUGGCCUAUUGUGGCCAGUUUUAUAUACUAUUACUCACUAAUUUUGGAUCCCACUAUGAUCCGAAUGUUUUAGGAACCCCGGGGUCCGGUUACCGGAACUCAUCCAAAUUCGCGGUUUUGGCCCAUUCUGGCCACUUUCUAUGCUAUUACUCACUGAUUUUGGGCCCCGCUACGAUCCAAACAUUCGGGGAACCCCGGGGUCUGGCUACGGGGUACUGGUCAAAACUCGCAGUUUUGGCUUAUUCUCGAAAUUAUUUCUAUGCUAUUAAUCAAUCAUUUUGGGUUCCGCUGCAAUCUGAACAUUCGGGUAACCCUGCGGUCCGGUUACGGGGAACUCGUCAAAACUCACAUAUUUGGCCUCUACUGGCCAGUUUUGUAUGCUAUUACUCAGUGACUUUGGGUCCUGUUCAAUCCAAACUUUCAGGGAACCCAGGGGGUCCAGUUACGGGAUAUUUAUAAAAUCUCACAACUUCCGCCUAUUAUGGCCCGCUUUCUAUAAUAUGACUCACUCAUUUUGGGUCUCGUGGCGACCUGAACGUUUGGGGAACCCACGGGUGUGGUUUUGGGGAACUCAUCAAAACUCAUAGUUUUGGCCUAUUCUGGAUAGUUUUCUAUAUACUUUUACGCACUAUUUUGGGUCCUGCUGUGAUCCGAACGUUUCGGGAACCCCGGGGUCCGGCUACGGGGAACUCGUCAAAACUCACAGAUUUGGCCUAUUCUAGCGAGUUUUCUAUCCUAUUACUUAGUGAUUUUGGGUCCCACUGUGAUCCGAACGUUCGGGAAACCCUGGGGUCCGGUUACGGGGAACUCGUGAAAACCCGCAGUCUUGCCCUAUUGUGCUAGUUUUCUACAGUAUUACUCACUGAUUUUGGGACCCGCUGCAAUCCGAACGUUUCGGGAACCCUAGGGUCCAGUUACGGGGAACUCGUCAAAACUCGCAGUUUGGCCUAUCCUGGCCAGUUUUUUAUGCUAUUAAUCGUGAUUUUGGAUCUCGUUGCGAUCCGAACGUUCGGGGAACCCCGGGGUCCGGCUACGGGUACCCAUCAUAACUUGCACUUUUGGCCUAUUAUUGCCAAUUUUCUAUGCUAUUAAUCAAUCAUUUUGGAUCCCGCUCCAAUUCAAACCUUCGCGGAACCCCGGGGGUCCGAUUACGGGGAACUCGUCAAAACUCGCAAUUUUGGCAUAUUCUCGCUAGUUUUCUAUACUAUUACUCACUGAUUUUGGGUCCCGGUGUGGUCCGAACGUUUUGGGAACCCCGGGGUCCGGUAACGAGGAACUCGUCAAAACUUGCAGUUUGGCCUAUUCUCGCGCAGUUUUCUACGCUUAUUACUCACUGAUUUUGGGUCCCGCUCCGAUCCGAACGUUCAGUAACCCCGGGGUCCGGCUACGGGGUACUCGUCAAAAGUUGUAGUUUUGCCCUAUUCUGGCCAAUUUUCUAUGCUAUUAAUCAAUCAUUUUGUGUCCCGCUACAGUCCAAAUGUUUGGGGAACGCUGCGGUCCGGUUACGGGGAACUCGUGAAAACUCGUCAAAUGUUCGGGGAACCCCGCGCCGGGUUACAACGUACUUGUCAAAACCUACAUGUUUUGCCUAUACUUGCGAGCUUUCAAUUCUAUUACUCACUCAUUUUGGGUCCCGCGGCGACACGAAAGUUCGGGUAACCCCGAGGUCCGGUUAAGGGGAAUUCAUCAAAACUUGCAGUUUUGGUCUAUUCUCGUGAGUUUUCUGUGCUCUUACUCAUUGAUUUUGGGUCCCGCUGCUACCCGAACGCUUGGGGAACCCCCGGGUCCGGUUACGCGAAACUCGUCAAAACUCGCAAUUUUGGCCUAUUCUGGCUAGUUUUCUAUACUAUUGCUCACAGAUUUUGGGACCCGCUACGAACUAAACGUACAGGGAACGCCGGGGUCCGGUUAUGGGGAACUCGUCAUAACUCGCAGAUUUGGCCUAUUAUGCCUAGUUUUCUGUAGCAUUACUCACUGAUUUUGGGAUUCGCUGCGACUCGAACGUUCGGGGAACCCCGCGGUCCGGCUACGGAAACCUCGUGAAAACUCGUAGUUUUGGCCUCUUCUAGCCAAUUUUCAAUACUACUACUCACUGAUUUUGGGACCCGUUGUGAUUUGAACAUUUGGGGAACCCCGGGGUCCGGUUAUGGGGAACUCAUCAAAACUCGCAGUUUUGGCCUAUUCUCGCUAGUUUCCUAUACUAUUACUCACUGAAUUUGGGUCCCGUGUAAUCCGAACGUUUUGGAAACCCGAGGAUCCAGUUACAUGGAACUCGUCAAAACUCACAGUUUUGGCCUACUCUCGCUAGUUUUUUUAUACUAAUACUCACUUAUUCUGGGUCCCACUGUGAUCCGAACAUUUUGGGAACCCUGAGGUCCGGUUACGGGGAACUCACCAAACUCUUAGAUUUGGCCUAUUUUGUCCAGUUUUCUAUCAUAUUACUCAGUGAUUCUAGGAACCGCCGCUAUUCGAACUCUCGGGGAACCCCAGGGUCUGGUAACGAGGAACUCAUCAAACCCCCCCUAUUUUGGCCUAUUGUGGCCAGUUUUCUAUACUAGUACUCGCUGAUUUUGGGCCCCACUACGAUCCGAACAUUCGGGGAACCCCGGGGUCCGGCUACGAGGUACUAGUCAAAACUCGCAGUGUUGGCUUAUUCUUGAAAAAAUUUCUAUGCUAUUAGUGAACCAUUUUGGGUCCCGUUGCAAUCUGAACGUUCGGGGAACCCUGCGGUUCGGUUACGGGGAACUCGUAAAAGUUACAGAUUUGGCCUCUUCUGGCCAGUUUUGUAUGCUAUUACUUAGUGAGUUUGGGUCCUGUUCGAUCCAAACUUUGAGGGAACCCAGGGGUCCGGUUGCGGGGUAUUUGUCAAAACUCACAGCUUUGGCCUAUUCUGGCCCGCUUUCUAUACUAUUACUCACUCAUUUUGGGUCUCGGGGCGACCUGAACAUUUGGGAAACCCACGGGUGUGGUUUCGGGGAAGUCGUCAAAACUCACAGUUUUGGCCUAUUCUGGCUAGUUUUCUAUACUAUUACUCACUCAUUUUGGGUCUAGCCGCGAUCUGAAUGUUUCGGGAACGCCGGGGCCCGAUUACGGGGAACUUCUCAAAACUCGUAGAUUUGGCCUAUUUUAGCGAGUUUUCUAUCCUAUUACUGAGUUAUUUUGGGUCCCACUGUGAUCCAAACGUUCGAGAAACCUCGAGGUCCGGUUACGGGGAACUCUUCAAACUCGCAGUCUUGGCCUAUUGUGGCUAGUUUUCUACACUAGUACUCACUGAUUUUUUGUCCCGAUGCAAUCCUAACAUUUCAAGAACCCUAGGGUCCAGUUACGGGGAACUCGUCAAAACUCGUAGUUUUGGCCUAUCCUGGCGAGUUUUUUAUGCUAUUACUCAUGAUUUUGGGUCUCGCUCCGAUCCGAAAGUUCGCGGAACCUCGGGGUCCGGCUACGGGUACUCAUCAAAACUUGCACUUUUGGCCUAUUCUUGCCAAUUUUGUAUGCUAUUAAUCAAUCAUUUUGGGUCCCGCUACAAUUCGAACAUUCGCGGAACCCCGGGGUCCGGUAACGGGGAACUCGUCAAAACUUGCAGUUUCGGCCUAUUCUCGCGCAGUUUUCUAUGCUUAUUACUCAAUAAUUUUGGGUCCAGCUCCGAUCCGAACGUUCAGUAACCCCGGGGUCCGGCUACCGGGUACUCGUCAAAAGUUGCAGCUUUGGCCUAUUCUAGCCAAUUUUCUAUGGUAUUAAUCAAUCAUUUUGGGUCCCGCUGCAAUCCAAACGUUCGGGGAAUCCUGCGGUCCGGUUACGGGAAACUCGUCAAAACUCACAGAUUUGGCCUAUUUUGGAUAGUUUUGUAUGCUAUUACUUAGUUAUUUUGGCUCAUGUUGCGAUUCAAACGUUCGGGGAACAUCGGGAUCCGGUUACAAGGUACUUGUCAAAACCUACAGCUUUUGCCUAUGCUCGCGAGCUUUGUAUACUAUUACUCACUCAUUUUGGGUCCCACGGCGACACGAAAGUUCGGGUAACCCCGAGGUCCGGUUAAGGGGAAUUNNNNNNNNNNCAGUUUUGGCCUAUUAUGUCCAAUUUUCUAUGCUAUUAAUCAAUCAUUUUGGGGCUCGGUGCAAUCCAAAUGUUCCGGGAACCCUGCGGUCCGGUUACGGGGAACUCGGAAAAACUCACAGAUUUGGCCUAUUUUGGAUAGUUUUGUAUGCUAUUACUUAGUUAUUUUGGCUCAUGUUGCGAUCCAAACGUUCGGGGAACCCUGGGGUCCGGUUAGAGGGUACUUGUCAAAACCUACAUAUUUUGCCUAUGCUCGCCAGCUUCCUAUACUAUUACUCACUCAUUUUGGGUCCCGCGACGACACGAAAGUUCGGGGAACCCCGAAGUCCGGUUAAGGGGAAUUCAUCAAAACUCGCAGUUUUGGCCUAUUCUGGUCAGUUUUCUAUGCUCUUACUCACUGAUUUUGGGUCCCGCUACUAUCCGAACGCUUGGGGAACCCCGGGGUCCGGUUACGCGGAACUCGUCAAAACUCGCAAUUUUGGCCUAUUCUGGCCAGUUUUCUAUACUAUUACUCACUCAUUUUGGGACCCACUACGAACUAAACAUCCAGGGAACGUCGCGGUCCGGUUAUGGGGAACUCGUCAUAACUCACAGUUUUGGCCUAUUAUGGCUAGUUUUGUAUGCCAUUACUCAGUGUUUUUUGGAUCCGCUACGGCUCGAACGUUCGGGGAACCCCGGGGUCCGGCUACGGGAACCUAGUGAAAACUCGUAGUUUUGGCCUAUUCUGGCCAAUUUUCAAUACUACUACUCACUGAUUUCGGAACCCGUUUUUAUUCGAACGUUUGGGGAACCCCGGGGUCCGGUUAUGGGGAACUCAUCAAAAUUUGCAGUUUUGGCCUAUUCUGGCUAGUUUCCUAUACUAUUACUCACUAAAUUUGGGUCCCAUGUGAUCCGAACAUUUUGGAAACCCCGGGAUCCGGUUACAGGGAACUCGUCGAAACUCACAGUUUUGGCCUACUCUCGCUACUUUUUUAUACUAUUACUCACUUAUUCUCGGUCCCGCUGUGAUCCGAACAUUUUGGGAACCCUGAGGUCUGGUUACGGGGAACUCAUCAAAACUCUUAGAUUUGGCCUAUUUUGUCCAGUUUUCUAUAAUAUUACUCAGUGAUUCUGGGAACCGCCGCUAUUCGAACUCUCGGGGAACCCCACGGUCCGGUAACGGGGAACUCAUCAAAAACCCCAAUUUUGGCCUAUUGUGGCCAGUUUUCUAUACUAUUACCCGCUGAUUUUGGGUCCCACUAUGAUCCGAACGUUUUGGGAACGUCGGGGUCCGAUUACCGGGAACUCGUCGAAAUUUGCAGUUUUGGCCUAUUCUGGCCAGUUUCUAUGCUAUUACUCACUGAGUUUGGGCCCCGCUACGAUCGAACAAUCGGGGAACCCCGGGGUCCGGCUACCGGGUACUCGUCAUAACUCGCAGUGUUUGCUUAUUCUCGCCAAUUUUCUAUGCUAUUAAUGAAUCAUUUUGGGUCCCGCUACAAUAUGAACGUUCGGGGAACCCUGCGGUCCGGUUACGAGGAACUCGUAAAAACAUACAGAUUUGGCCUCUUCUGGCCAAUUUUGUAUGCUAUUACUCAGUGAUUUUGGGUCUUGUUCGAUCCAAACUUUCAGGGAACCCAGUGAUACGUCUCAAACGUAUCUAUAAUUUUUGAUGGUUUCACGCUGUUAUCUUGCCUUUUUUGUAUGUUUUAUGUACCUUUUUAUAUCUUUUUGGGACAAACUUAUUAAUUCAGUGCCAAGUGCCAGUUCCUGUUUUUUCCGUGUUUUUGACUCUUUUCAGAUCUGAUUUUGGAACGGAGUCCAAACGGAAGAAAAACCCCAAAAUGAUUUUUUCCCGAACGGAAGAAGUCUAGGGGGCUUUUGGGCCAAGCCAGGUGGGCUCCAGGGAGCCCACAAGCCCCCACUCUGCCACCAGGGGGAGGCGGCGGUGGGCAGGCUUGUGGCCUCCCUGGCCGCCCCCUGACCUAGGUCUUUGGCCUAUAAAUUCCCAAAUAUUCCGCAAAAAAUCAGGGGAGCCUCGAAAAUACUUUUCCGCCGCCCCAAGCUUUCGUUUCCGCGAGAUCUCAUCUAGAGACCCUUCCCGGCGCCCUGCCGGAGGGGACUUUGGAGUUGGAGGGAUUCUUCAUCAUCAUCAUCGCCCCUCCAAUGACUCGUGAGUAGUUCACUUCAGACCUACGGGUCUGUAGUUAGUAGCUAGAUUGCUUCUUCUCUCUCUUGGAUCUUCAAUACAAAGUUCUCCAUGAUCUUCNNNNNNNNNNCCACGUAUGACUACACACGGAAUGCAUGCCUACAUCACAUUGACGAACGGGAGAUAGCCACAUAUCUCUCCGUGUUAUAAUUGUUGCAAGAUGAAUGUCAUCCAAACGAAUCACCGACCCAUUGCCUACGAGUUUGUCCCAUUGCUGCUGCUACUUGUUAUGCUCUGCUGCUGUUACUACUGUUGCUUGCUACUUGCUAUUGUUGCUACUUGCUACUGUUGUCACUAAUGUUGUUCCUUGCCACUGUUGUUACUCGUUACGCUGCUGCUACCUGCUACAAUACUUAUUCGCUCGACGUUGACGGGAAAGAAUAUUUCCCGUCCACGGGCAAGUUCUGGCGCCAUUGAUACAACAGUUAGGAAUAGUCUGCCUUGUCAACAGAUCGUUNNNNNNNNNNNNNNNNNNNNNNNNNNNNNNNNNNNNNNNNNNNNNNNNNNNNNNNNNNNNNNNNNNNNNNNNNNNNNNNNNNNNNNNNNNNNNNNNNNNNNNNNNNNNNNNNNNNNNNNNNNNNNNNNNNNNNNNNNNNNNNNNNNNNNNNNNNNNNNNNNNNNNNNNNNNNNNNNNNNNNNNNNNNNNNNNNNNNNNNCUGUCCGGCGAACCAACAAAUUUGGCUUGAAUACUCUACCCUUGAAAACUCCCGCGAACCCACGCGCUGGUGGGCCAUUGUAAUACAAUUGCUAAUUGUUGAGCAACUGGGAGCAGUUCUGGCUAUGUUGUCGCGAAGGCAUCAAGUCAGGAACACGUCAACAACAUUCUUCUAGUGUCGUUGCCGGGGACUGCCGUUAGCACUCGUCAAAACUCACAGUUUUGGCCUAUUCUCGCUAGUUUUCUAUACUAUACUCAUUGAUUUUGGGUGCCGCUGCAAUCCGAACGCUUCGGGAACCCUAGGGUCCGAUUACGGGAACUCGUCAAAACUCACAGUUUUGGCCUAUUCUUGCCAGAUUUCUAUGGUAUUACUCACUGAUUUGGGGUCCCGCUUUGAUCGGUUUAGGGAACUCGUCGAAACUCACAGAUUUGGCCUAUUCUAGCGAGUUCUUUAUACUAUUACUCACUGAUUUUUGGUCUCGCUGCGAUCCGAAUGUUCGGGGAGCCCUGUGGUUCGGCUACACGGUACUCAUCAAAACCCGCGGUUUGUGCCUAUUCUCGCCAAUUUUAUAUGCUAUUAAUCAAUCAUUUUGGGUCCCACUGCAAUCUAAACGUUCGGGGAACCCUGCGGUCCGAUUACGGGGAAAUCGUCAAAACUUCCAGAUUUGGCUUAUUCUCGAUAGUAUUGUAUGCUAUUACUCACUGAUUUUGGCUCAUGUUGCCGUCCAAACGUUCGGGGAACCCCGGGGUCCAGUUAGGGUACUCGUCAAAACUCAUAGCUUUGGCCUAUUAUCGUCAGUUUUCUAUGCUCUUAGCCACUGAUUUUUGGGUCCCGGUGCGAUCCGAAUACUCGGGGAACCCCGGGGUACGCUUACGGGCAAUUCGUCAAAACUCACUCAUUUUGGGACCAGCUGAGAACCAAACGUCCGAGGAACCUCGCGGUCCGGUUACGAGGAACUCGUCAAAACUUGUAGUUUUGGCCUAUUAUGGCUAGUUUUCUAUAUUAUUACUCACUCAUUUUGGGACCCGCUGCGAUCCCAAUGUUCGGGGAACCCUGGGGUCCGUUUAUAGCGCACUCACCAAAACUCGCUGUUUUGGCCUAUUCUGGCCAGUUUUCUAUGGCAUUACUUACUGAUUUUGGUUCUCGCUAUGAUCCAAAUGUUCUGGGAAACCCGUGAUCCAACUACGGGUUAUUCUUCGAACCCGUAGUUUUUGCCUACUCUGGCCAAUUUUCUAUGCUAUUACUCACUCAUUUUGGGUCCCGGUGCAAUCCAUACAUUCGGGGAACCCUGUGGUCCGGUUACGGGGAACUCAUCAAAACUCUGAGAUUUGGCCUAUUUUGGUCAGUUCUGUAUGCUAUUACUCGCUAAUUUAAGCCCAUGUUACCAUCCAAACGUUCGGGGAACCCCGGGGUCUAGUUACCCGGUACUCGUCAAAACUCACAGCUUUGGCCUAUUCUGGCCAGCUUUCUAUACUAUUAGUCACUCAUUUUGGGUCUCCGGGUGACUUGAACGUUUGGGGAACCCCGAGGUCCGGUUACUGGGAACUCGUCAAAACUCGGAAUUUUAGCCUAUUCUUGUCAGUUUUCUAUGCUCUUACUCACUAAAUUUUUAGGUCCCGCUGCGAUCCGAGCGUUGCGGGAACCCGGGUUCCGGUUACGGGGAACUCGUCCAAACUCGCAGUUUUGGCCUAUGAUGGCCAAUUUUCUAUACUAUUACUCACUCAUUUUGGGACCCGCUGAGAGCCAAACUUCCGGGGAACUUCGGGGUCCGGUUACGGGGCACUCGUCAAAACUCGUAGUUUUGGCUUAUUAUAGCAAGUUUUCUAUACUACUACACACUCAUUUUGGGACCCGCUGCAAUCUGAAUGUUUGGGGAACGCCGGGGUCCGGGGUCCGGCUACGGGGUACUCGUCAAAACCCGCAGAUUUUGCCUAUUCUUGCCAACUUUCUAUGCUAUUAAUCAAUCAUUUUGGUUCCCGCUGCAAUCAAAAAAUUCGAGGAACCUUGCUGUCCGGUUACGGGGAACUCGUCAAAACUCCCAGAUUUGGCCUAUUUUGACCACUUUUGUAUGCUAUUACUCACGUAUUUUGGGUCAUGUUGCUAUCCAAACGUUCAGGGAACCCCGGGGUCCGGUUACGGGGUACUCAUCAAAACUCACAGCUUUGGCCAAUUCUGGCCAGCUUUCUAUACUACUACUCACUCAUUUUGGGUCCUCGGGCGACCCGAACGUUCGGGGAACCCCGAGGUUCGGUUAGGGGAAACUCGUCAAAACUUGCAGUUUUGGCCUAUUCUCGUCGGUUUUCUAUGCUAUUAAUCACUGACUUUUGGGUCCCGCUGCGAUCCGAACGCUCGGGAAACCCCAGGGUCCGGUUACGGGUAAUUCGUCAAAACUCGCAGUUUUGGCCUAUGCUGGCCAGUUUUCCAUACUAUUACUCACUCAUUUUGGGACCCACUAAGAACCAAACAUCUGGGGAACCUCGGGUCCGGUUACAAGGAACUCGUCAAAACUCGCAGUUUUGGCCUAUUAUGUCUAGUUAUUAUACUUUUACUCACUAAUUUUGGGACCUGCUGCAGAUUACGGGGAACUCGUCCAAACUCAGAGAUUUGGCCUAUUCUAGGCAGUUUUCUAUACUAUCACUCGCUGAUUUUGGUUCUCGCUACGAUCCGAGCGUUCGGGGAAUCCCGGGGUCCGGCUACGGGGUACUCGUCGAAACCCGUAGUUUUUGCCUAUUCUGGCUAAUUAUGUAUCCUAUUAAUGAAUCAUUUUAGGUCCCGUUGCAAUCCAAACGUUCGGGGAACCCUGCGGUCCGGUUACGGGGAACUCAUCAAACUCCCAGAUUUGGCCUAUUCGGGCUAGUUUUGUAUGCUAUUAAUCACUGAUUUUGGCCCAUGUUGCCAUCAAAACAUUCGGGGAACCUCGGGGUCUGGUUACGGGGUACUCGUAAAAAAUCAGAGCUUUGGCCUAUUUUGGCCAACUUUCUAUACAAUUACUCACUCAUUUUGGGUCUCGGGGCGACUCGAACGUUCGGAGAUGUCGAACUCAUCAAAAUUCACAAUUUUGGCCUCUUCUCGUCGGUUUACCAUGCUCUUACUCAUUGAUUUUUGGGUCCCGCUGCGAUCCGAACGCUCGGGGAACCCCGCGGUCUGAUUACGGGGUGUUCGUCAAAACUCGCAAUUUUGGCCUAUGCUGGCCACUUUUGUUUUCUAUUACUCACUCAUUUUGGGACCGUUGAGAACCUAACGUCCGGGGAACCUCGGGGUCCGGUUAUGAGGAACUCGUCAAAACUCAUAGUUUUGGCCUAUUAUGGCUAGUUUUCUAUAUUAUUACUUAGUGAUAUUGGUUCUCGCUAUGAUCCGAACGUUCGGGGAACCCCGGGGUCCGGCUUCGGGGUACUCAUCAAAACCUGCAGUUUUGCCUAUUCUGGCCAUUUUUCUAUGGUAUUAAUCAAUCAUUUUGGUUCCCGCUGCAAUCGAAACGUUCGGGGAACCCUGCGGUCUCGUGACGGGGAACUCGUAAAAACUCCUAGGUUUGGCCUAUUCUGGCCAGUUUUGUAUGCUAUUACUCAUUGAUUUUGGCUCAUGUUCCCAUCCAAAUGUUCGGGGAACCCCGGGGUCCGGUUACGGGGAACUCGUCAAAACUCAGAGCUUUCGCCUAUUCUGGCCAGCUUUCUAUACUACUACUAACUCAUUUUGGGUCCCGGGGGGACCCGAACGUUCGGGGAACCCCAAAGUUCGGUUACGGGGAACUCGUCAAAACAUGCAGUUUUGGCCUAUUCUCGUCAGUUUUCUAUGCUAUUACUCACUGAUUUUUGGGUCCCGCUGCGAUCCAAAAGCGCGGAGAACCCCGGGGUCGGGUUACGGGGAAUUUGUCAAAACUCGCAGUUUUGGCAUAUGGUGGCUAGUUUUCUAUACUAUUACUCAAUCAUUUUGGGACCCGCUAAGAACCAAACGUCCAGGGAACCUCGGGUCCGGUUACAGGGAACUCGUCAAAACUCGCAGUUUUGGCCUAUUAUGGCUAGUUUUCUAUACUAUUACUCACUGAUUUUGGGACCCGCUGCGAUCCUAAUGUUCGGGGAACCCCGGGGUCUUGUUACGGGGAACUCGCCAAAACUUGCUGUUUUGGCAUAUUCUGGCCAGUUUCCUAUGCUAUUACUCACUGAUUUUGGGUCCCGUUGCAAUCCGGAUGUUCGGCGAACCCCGGGUUCCGGUUAAGGGGAAUCCUUCAAAACUCGCGGAUUUGGCCUAUUCUAGCCAGUUUUCCAUACUAUCACUCAUUUAUUUUGUUCUCAUUACGAUUCGAACAUUCGCGGAACCCCGUGGUCCAGCUACGGGGUACUCGUCAAAACCCGCAGUUUUGCCUAUUCUGGCCAUUUUUCAAUGCUAUUAAUCAAUCAUUCUAGGUCCCGUUGCAAUCCAAACAUUCGGGGAACCCUGCGGUCCGAUUACGGGGAACUCGUCAAAACUCCCAGAUUUGGCCUAUUCUGGCCAGUUUUAUAUGCUAUUACUCACUGAUUUUAGCUCAUGUUGGCAUCCAAACUUUUGCGGAACCCCGGGGUCCGGUUACGGGGUACUUAUCAAAACUCACAGCUUUGGCCUAUUCUGUCCAGCUUUCUAUACUAUUACUCACUCAUUUUGGGUCCCGGGGCGACCCGGUUCGGGGAACCCCGAGGUCUGCUUACGGGGAACUCGUCAAAACUCGCAGUAUUGGCCUAUUAUGGCUACUUUUCUAUGCUAUUACUUACUCAUGUUGGGACCUGCUAAGAACCAAACGUCCGGGGAACGUCGAGUCCGGUUACGGGGAACUCAUCAAAUUUGAAGUUUUGGCCUAUUUUCGCCAGCUUUCUAUACAAUUACUCACUCAUUUUGGGUCUCGGGGCGACCCGAAUGUUCGGGGAACCCCGAGGUCCGGUUAUGGGGAACUCGUCAAAUUCACAGUUUUGGCCUAUUCUUGUCACUUUUCUACGCUCUUACUCACUGAUUUUUGGGUCCCGCCGUGAUCCGAACGCUCGGGGAAUCCUGGGGUACGGUUACAGGGAAUUCGUCAAAACUCGCAGUUUUGGCCUGUGAUGGCCAGUUUUCUAUCCUAUUACUCACUCAUUUUGGGAGCCGCUGAGAACCAAACAUCCUGGGAACCUUUGUGUCCGGUUAUGGGGAAUUUGUAAAAACUCGCAUUUUUGCCUAUUAUGGCUAGUUUUCUAUACUAUUACUCGUUGAUAUUGUUCUCGCUACUAUUCGAACGUUCGGGGAACCCCGGGGUCCGGCUACGGGGUACUCGUCAAAACCCACAGUUUUGCCUAUUCUGGCCAAUUUUCUAUGCUAUUAAUCAAUCAUUUUGGUUCCCGCUGCAAUCCAAACGUUCGGGGGAACCAUGCGGUCCGGUUGCGGGGAACUCGUCAAAACUCGCAGUUUUAGCCUAUUAUGGCCAAUUUUCUAGGCUAUUACUCACUAAUUUUGGAUCAUUUGCCAUCCAAAUAUUCAGGAAACCCCGUUGGCCGGUUUAGGGGUACUCGUCAAAACUCACAGCUUUGGCCUAUUCUAGCCACUUUUCAAUACUAUAACUCAGUGAUUUUGGGUCCGUGGGCGACCCGAACAUUUGGGGAACCCCGAGGUCUGGUUACGGGGAACUCGUCGAAACUCGUGUUUUGGCCUAUUCUCGUAUGUUUUCUAUGCUAUUACUACUGAAUUUUUGGUGCCGCUUCGGUCCGGACGCCGAGGGAACCCCGGGGUCCGGUUACGGAGAAUUCAUCAAAACUCGCACUUUUGGCCUAUUAUGGCUAGUUUUCUGUAGUAUUAGUCACUCAUAUUGCUUCUCGCUACGAUCUGAACGUUCGGAGAACCUCGGGGUCCGGCUACGGGGUAAUCGCCAAAACCCGCAGUUUUGCAUAUUCUGGCCAAUUUUCUAUGCUAUUAAUGAAUCAUUUUGGUUCCCGCUGCAAUCCAAACGCUCGGGGAACCCCGUGGUCCGGCUAAAGGGAAUUCGACAAAACUCUCAGUUUUGGCCUAUGCUGGCUAGUUUUCUAUACUAUUACUCACUCAUUUUGGGACCCGCUGAGAACCAAAUGUCUGGGGAACCUUGGGUCCGGUUACGGGAAACUCGUCAAAACUCAUAGUUUUGUCCAAUUAUGGCUUAUUUUCUAUACAAUUACUCAUUGAUUUUGGGACCCGUUGCGAUCCGAAUGUUCGGGGAACCCUGGGGUCCGGUUACGGAGAGCUCGUGAAAACUCACAGUUUUGGCCUAUGUUGGCCAGUUUUCUAUGCUAUUACUCACUAAUUUUGGUUCUCGCUACGAUCCGAACAUUCGGGGAACCCCGGGGUCCGGCUACGGGGUACUCGAUGAAACCCACAAUUUUUGACUAUUCUGACCAAUUUUCUAUGUUAUUACUCACUCAUUUUGGGUCCCGCUGCAAUCCAAACAUUCAGGGAACCCUGUAGUCCGGUUACGGGGAAGUCAUCAAAACUCAUAUAUUUGGCCUAUUAUGGCCAAUUCUGUAUGCUAUUACUCACUGAUUUUGGCUCAUGUUGCCAUCCAAACGUUCGGGGAACCCCGGGGUCCGGUUACGGGGUACUCGUCAAAACUCACAGCUUUGGCCUAUUCUGGCCAGCUUUCUAUACUAUUACUCACUCAUUUUUUGUCCCGGGGCAACCCAAACGUUUGGGGAACCCCGAGGUACGGUCACGGGGAACUCGUCAAAACUCGCAGUUUUAGCCUAUUCAGGUCUGUUUUCUAUGAUCUUACUUACUGAUUUUUGGGUCCCGCUACGAUCCGAAUGCUCACGGAACGCCGGGAUCUUGUUACGGGGAACUCGUCAAGACUCACAGUUUUGGGCUAUGCUGGCCAAUUUUCUAUACUAUUACUCACUCAUUCUGGGACCCGCUGAGAACCAAACGUCAGGGGAACCUUCGGUCGGGUUACGGGGAACUCACCAAAACUCACAGUUUUGGCCUAUUAUGGCUAGUUUUCAAUACUAUUACUCACUCAUUUUGGGACCCGCUGCGAUUUGAAUGUUCGGGGAACCCCGGGGUCCGGUUACGCGGAACUCGCCAAAAAUCACAGUUUUGGCAUAUUCUGGCAAGUUUUCUAUGCUAUUACUCACUGAUUUUGGGUCCCGCUGCGAACCUGAUGUUCAGUGUACCCCGGGGUCCAGUUAAGGGGAACUCGUGAAACUCGCAUAUUUGGCCUAUUCUAGCGAAUUUUCUAUACUAUUACUCACGGAUUUUGGUUCUUGCUAUGGUCAAAAUGUUCGGGGAACCCCGGGGUACGGUUAUGUGGUACUCAUCUAAACCCGCGGUUUUUGCCUAUUCUGGCCAAUUUUCUAUGCUAUUAAUCAAUCAUUUUGGNNNNNNNNNNAUUCGGGGAACCUUGUGGUCCGGUUACGGGGAACUCGUCAAAACUCCCAUAUUUGGUCUAUUCUGGCCAGUUUUGUAUGGUAUUACUCACUGAUUUCGGCUCAUGUUUUAUACGUCCCAAACGUAUGUAUAAUUUCUUCUUGCUCCAUGCAAGUUUUGGGUGAUAUUCCUAUGUGUUUUGUACACUUUCAUACCUUUUUCAACAUAUUUGGACUAACCUACUAACUCAGUGCACCAAGUGCCAGUUUCUGUUUGCUGAUGUGUGUGAAUUGCAGGUUUAUACCCAUAUUUACAGUGCCCGAAAAAUUCCCCAAAAAAUAUAUAAAAAAUCAGCGUUCGAGAACACUCCAUACGGCAAAAAGGAGGGCCAGAGGGGGGCACCAGGCCUCCAGGCGACCUGGUAGCGUGGCCUGCCCCCUAGCCGCGCGAGUAGGCCGCCUGGGUGGGGCCCACCCCCUCUGGUGCCCUACCUUGGCUCCUAUUUUUACCCCCGCGGAGGAAACCCUGAUUCCGGAACCCUUUUCUCCAAAAGCAAUUCCGAUUUCCACCGCCAUCGCCAACAAGUCUCGGGGGACCAGAAUUCCUGUGCCGCCACCCUGCCGGGACGGGGAAGUGCCCCCGGAUUCAUCUCCAUCGACGUUGCUUCCUCCCUCCAUGAAGCGGGAGUAGUUCCUCCUCGGGGUUGAGGUCUUCCAAAGUAGCUAUGUGGUUAAUUCUCUCUCCCAUGAUGUGAUCUUGAUUGUGAUCAUAGGCUAUGUUAACCUAGGGUGAUCCCAUGAUGUUUCCUCUUCUUCUAUGUAUUGGAUUGAUGUACUCACUUGAUCUUAUCUAGUAUAAUCCCCGAGACCAUGGUGGCAGCGGUCUAUUGGACAUGGAUUAGAAAAUUAUUUUCAUGAGUGAUUUCCUCUUUUGUGAAUUGAUUGAACAUUGAGAGUCUCUUGGUGCUUGUCUUUGACUAUCCUUGAGAUAAGUUGUGGUGUUUGUGGUACUCUCUUUGGAUGGCCACGGUGACAUUGGGAAAUCCAUAGAUGAGAACUAGGAACUCUAAGGUGUUCUUUUGUAGCCCUACAUAAUUCUCGUCCUCCCUUGAUCACAAAUGAAUAACCUCCAAGUACAUCACCAUUGCAUGUUUUAGUGGAAAUAUCAUGUGAUUAGACUAUGUUAAUGUUGUUGGGAGUUGCCACUAGUGAAAGUAUGAAGCCUAGGCCUUUUUUCUCACCAUUGUUACACCGUUUAUGCUCACUUUUGUCACUUGUUACCUGAUACGUCUCAAACGUAUCUAUAAUUUUUGAUGGUUUCACGCUGUUAUCUUGCCUUUUUUGUAUGUUUUACGUACCUUUUAUAUCUUUUUGGGACUAACUUAUUAAUUCAGUGCCAAGUGCUAGUUCCUGUUUUUUCCGUGUUUUUGACUCUUUUCAGAUCUAAUUUUGGAACGGAGUCCAAACGGAAUAAAAACCCCGAAAUGAUUUUUUUCCCGAACGGAAGAAGUCCAGGGGCUUUUGGGCCAAGCCAGGUGGGCUCCAGGGAGCCAACAAGCCCCCACUCCGCCACCGGGGGAGGCGGCGGUGGGCAGGCUUGUGGCCUCCCUGGCCGCCCCCUGACCUAGGUCUUUGGCCUAUAAAUUCCCAAAUAUUUCGCUAAAAACCAGGGGAGCCUCGAAAAUACUUUUCCGCCGCCGCAAGCUUCCGUUUCCGCGAGAUCUCAUCUGGAGACCAUUCCCGGCACCCAGCCGGAUGGGACUUUGGAGGUGGAGGGCUUCUUCUUCAUCAUCAUCGCCCCUCCAAUGACUCGUGAGUAGUUCACUUCAAACCUACGGGUCCGUAGUUAGUAGCUAGAUGGCUUCUUCUCUCUCUUGGAUCUUCAAUACAAAGUUCUCCAUGAUCUUCAUGGAGAUCUAUCCGANNNNNNNNNNNNNNNNNNNNNNNNNNNNNNNNNNNNNNNNNNNNNNNNNNNNNNNNNNNNNNNNNNNNNNNNNNNNNNNNNNNNNNNNNNNNNNNNNNNNCCGGAUACGUAUUUAUUCUUAAUGGGGGUGCGGUAAGCUGGUGCAGUUCCAAGCAAAGCGUUGUAGCAGAUUCUACAUGUGAAGCGGAGUAUAUGGCUGCCUCGGAGGCGGCUAAGGAGGGUGUCUGGAUGAAGCAGUUCAUGACGGAUCUUGNNNNNNNNNNNNNNNNNNNNNNNNNNNNNNNNNNNNNNNNNNNNNNNNNNNNNNNNNNNNNNNNNNNNNNNNNNNNNNNNNNNNNNNNNNNNNNNNNNNNNNNNNNGGUGCCAAGCGCACUGAAUCCAAUAACCUUGUUCUGUGACAACACGGGUGCCAUUGCCUUAGCAAAGGAACCACGGUUUCACAAGAAGACCAGACACAUCAAACGACGCUUUAACCUCAUCCGCGACUACGUCGAGGGAGAGGACGUAAAUAUAUGCAAAGUGCACACGGAUCUGAAUGUAGCAGACCCGCUGACUAAACCUCUUCCACGGCCAAAGCAUGAUCAACAUCAGAACUGUAUGGGUGUUAGAUUUAUUACAAUGUAAUUCGCAUGAUGAUGUGAGGGCUAGAUUAUUGACUCUAGUGCAAGUGGGAGACUGAUGGAAUUAUGCCCUAGAGGCAAUAAUAAAUAUAGUUAUUAUUAUAAUUCCUGUAUUAAGAUAAUCGUUUAUUAUCCANNNNNNNNNNNNNNNNNNNNNNNNNNNNNNNNNNNNNNNNNNNNNNNNNNNNNNNNNNNNNNNNNNNNNNNNNNNNNNNNNNNNNNNNNNNNNNNNNNNNCACUCGGUAAUACAACAUCACACACAAGCCUUGCAAGCAAUGUAACUUAGUGUAAGUUGCGGGAUCUUGUAUUACGGAACGAGUAAAGAGACNNNNNNNNNNNNNNNNNNNNNNNNNNNNNNNNNNNNNNNNNNNNNNNNNNNNNNNNNNNNNNNNNNNNNNNNNNNNNNNNNNNNNNNNNNNNNNNNNNNNNNNNNNNNNNNNNNNNNNNNNNNNNNNNNNNNNNNNNNNNNNNNNNNNNNNNNNNNNNNNNNNNNNNNNNNNNNNNNNNNNUAUACGGGAUUAUAUGAAUCCUUAGCACUGAGGUUCAAACGAUAAGAUCUUCGUAGAAUAUGUAGGAUCCAAUAUGGGCAUCCAGGUCCCGCUAUUGGAUAUUGACCGAGGAGUCUCUCGGGUCAUGUCUACAUAGUUCUCGAACCCGCAGGGUCUGCACACUUAAGGUUCGACGUUGUUCUAUGCGUAUAUGAGUUAUAUGGUUGGUUACCGAAUGUUGUUCGGAGUCCCGGAUGAGAUCACGGACGUCACGAGGGUUUCUGGAAUGGUCCGGAAACGAAGAUUGAUAUAUAGGAUGACCUCAUUUGAUUACCGGAAGGUUUUCGGAGUUACCGGGAAUGUACCGGGAAUGACGAAUGGGUUCCGGGAGUUCACCGGGGGGGCAACCCACCCCGGGGAAGCCCAUAGGCCUUGGGGGAGACACACCAGCCCUUAGUGGGCUGGUGGGACAGCCCACAAGUGCCCUAUGCGCCAAGGAGAAGAAAAUCAAGAGAGAAAAAAAAGGAGGAGGUGGGAAGGAAGGGGGACUCCCUCCCACCAAACCUAGUCCAACUCGGUUUGGGGGGGGGGAGAGUCCUCCCCCUUGGACUCGGCCGACCCCCUUGGGGCUCCUUGAGCCCCAAGGCAAGACCCCCUCCCUCCCACCUAUAUAUACGGAGGUUUUAGGGCUGAUUUGAGACGACUUUUCCACGGCAGCCCGACCACAUACCUCCACAGUUUUUCCUCUAGAUCGCGUUUCUGCGGAGCUCGGGCGGAGCCCUGCUGAGACAAGGUCAUCACCAACCUCCGGAGCGUCGUCACGCUGCCGGAGAACUCUUCUACCUCUCCGUCUCUCUUGCUGGAUCAAGAAGGCCGAGAUCAUCGUCGAGUUGUACGUGUGCUGAACGCGGAGGUGCCGUCCGUUCGGUACUAGAUCGUGGGACUGAUCGCGGGAUUGUUCGCGGGGGCGGAUCGAGGGACGUGAGGACGUUCCACUACAUCAACCGCGUUCUCUAACGCUUCUGUUGUACGGUCUACAAGGGUACGUAGAUCACUCAUCCCCUCUCGUAGAUGGACAUCACCAUGAUAGGUCUUCGUGCGCGUAGGAAAGUUUUUGUUUCCCAUGCGACGUUCCCCAACAGCUUGUGACUUUGAGACGUCGUCUUCAGAGGGCAAGAUCUAACAUGCUGCCCUUUAACUUUGCACUUGAAGCAAAUGAUUUUGGCCGAAUUCUUGACUUGUUCUAGGCCCCUCUUGUUCUUGUUUGAGUUUACUCCAACAUCAUUUUUGUCAUUCGGAGAUGUUUGCUCACACAGGACGUUGUUGAGUGUGGACAUCCCUUCAUGACACUGUUCCAAGUCUUUCUUCAAAGAAGUGACUUGGGCCUUGAGCUCUUCGAUUUCCUCUGCACGGUUAGUAUCAAUGCAAGUACUAGAGGAAGUGUCGUGGUUUUGUCACGGCAGAUGUCCUCGUGAAAGGANNNNNNNNNNNNNNNNNNNNNNNNNNNNNNNNNNNNNNNNNNNNNNNNNNNNNNNNNNNNNNNNNNNNNNNNNNNNNNNNNNNNNNNNNNNNNNNNNNNNGAUUGCAAGAUCUAAAGAUAUACCUUCAAGCGCUAACCUCCCUGGCAACGGCGCCAGAAAAGAGCUUGAUGUCUACUAGGCAACCUUCUCCUUGUAGACGUUGUUGGGCCUCCAAGGGCAGAGGGUUGUAGGACAGUAGCAUUUUUCCNNNNNNNNNNNNNNNNNNNNNNNNNNNNNNNNNNNNNNNNNNNNNNNNNNNNNNNNNNNNNNNNNNNNNNNNNNNNNNNNNNNNNNNNNNNNNNNNNNNNNNNNNNNNNNNNNNNNNNNNNNNNNNNNNNNNNNNNNNNNNNNNNNNNNNNNNNNNNNNNNNNNNNNNNUCUCUUGUGUCCCCAACACACCCAAUACAAUGGUAAGUUGUAUAGGUGCACUAGUUCGGCGAAGAGAUGGUGAUACAAGUGCAAUAUGGAUGGCAUAUAUAGGUUUUUGUAAUCUGAAAUUACAAAAACAGCAAGGUAACUAGUAACAAAAGUGAGCACGAACGGUAUUGCNNNNNNNNNNAGGCGAAGAGAUGGUGAAACAAGUGCAAUAUGGAUGGCAUAUAUAGGUUUUCGUAAUCUGAAAUUAUAAAAACAGCAAGGUAACUAGUAACAAAAGUGAGCACGAACGGUAUUGCAAUGCGUGGAAACAAGGCCUAGGGUUUAUACUUUCACUAGUGAAGUUCUCUCAACAAUGAUAACAUAAUUGGAUCAUAUAAAUAGCCCUCAACAUGCAACAAAGAGUCACUCCAAAGUCACUAAUAGCAGAGAACAAACGAAGAGAUUAUUGUCGGGUACGAAACCACCACAAAGUUAUUCUUUCUGAGCGAUCUAUUCAAGAGUUCGUACUAGAAUAACACCUUAAGAUACAUAUCAACCAAGACCCUAAUGUCACAUAGAUACUCCAUUGUCACCUCAAGUAUCCGUGGGCAUGAUUAUACGAUAUGCAUCACACAAUCUCAGAAUCAUCUAUUCAACUAACACAUAGAACUUCAAAGAGUGCCCCAAAGUUUCUACCGGAGAGUCAAAACGUGUGCCAACCCCUAUGCAUAGGUUCCNNNNNNNNNNAAUCAUAUAAAUAGCCCUCAACAUGCAACAAAGAGUCACUAAUAGCGGAGAACAAACGAAGAGAUUAUUGUCGGGUACGAAACCACCACAAAGUUNNNNNNNNNNCAAUGUCACGAACCCGCAAGUUGAUCACCAAAACAUACAUCGAGUACUCACAUGAAGCAAACGUGUGCCAACCCAUAUGCAUAGGUUCCCAAUGUCACAAACCCGNNNNNNNNNNGAUAAGAUAACUUCAAAGGGGAAACUCAAUUCAUUACAAGAAGGAAGAGGGGGAAGAACAUCAUAAGAUCCAACUAUAGUAGCAAAGCCUAUGGUACAUCAAGAUCAAGACAUCUCAAGAACACGAGAGAGAGAGAGAGANNNNNNNNNNGAAUGUCACGAACCCGCAAGUUGAUCACAAAAACAUACAUCGAGUACUCACAUGAAUCAAACGUGUGCCAACCCAUAUGCAUAGGUUCCCAAUGUCACAAACCCGCAAGUUGAUCACCGCAGAUAGACACGUGCAAGACAUACAUCAAGUGUUCUCAAAGACUCAAUCCAAUAAGAUAACUUCAAAGGGGAAACUCAAUUCAUUACAAGAAGGGAGAGGGGGAAGAACAUCAUAAGAUCCAACUAUAGUUGCAAAGCCCACGGUACAUCGAGAUCAAGACAUCUCAAGAACACGAGAGAGAGAGAGAUCAAACACAUAGCUACUGGUACAUACCCUCAGCCCCGAGGGUGAACUACUCCCUCCUCGUCAUGGAGAUUGCCGGGAUGAUGAAGAUGGCCACCGGAGAUGGAUUCCCCCUCCAGCAGGGUGCCAGAACGGGCUCCAGAUUGGUUUUUGGUGGCUAUAGAGGCUUGCGGCGGCGGAACUCCCGAUCUAGGUUUCUUUCUGGGGGUUUCUGAAUUUAUAGGAAUUUAUGGCGGCGGAAUUACGUCGGUUGGGCCCACGAGGAGGUCACAAGCCUGGUAGGUGCGGCCUAGGGUGGGUCGCGCCUCCCGGGCUUGUGACUCCCUCGUGGCUCUUCUGGCCUUNNNNNNNNNNNNNNNNNNNNNNNNNNNNNNNNNNNNNNNNNNNNNNNNNNNNNNNNNNNNNNNNNNNNNNNNNNNNNNNNNNNNNNNNNNNNNNNNNNNNGGGAGAGGAUCAUUCACGCUCCGCCGGACCUCCAGCGAGUCAGCAUCCUGAGCCUGAUUUCGAUUCCGCCGGGGUCCCGGAGAUCCGCUAGAGCUCGCGAAAUCCCCGUGUGGCGCGGGGCGACGGGAGUGCGGGAGAUGAACGCGAGAAAUGAUAUCGCCCGCGCGCCUGUGCUCUCUCUUUUGUGUGCUCUGGAUGUGCGCUCGAUAGCUUGAGUACAUACUAUUGGAGCAUGCGAUUGGAUGGUAUAACUCGCUUAUCCCGUUUCUGUUUAGUUUAGUCUUAGCAAUAGUAGCUAUAUGCGUAUAUGUUUCUACUAUAUGCGUAGUAGUACAUGCUAGUCUGUUCCGUAAUCAGUAUAUCUUUAAUCUAGUUGAUAUCAUGACAGUGAUUAUUUCGUGGAUUAAUCUGAUCAAAAAAUUACCUAUUUACUAAACAUGUUGUGGACAAAGAAGUGACCCCUUGCAGUGUUUCACUAUGUGGUAUAGCUCAAUUGGCUUUGGCCCCACCAUGGUGGGAAGCAUAAAAGGACGUCGCUGGGAGCUUGGAGGAGGCCAACGGUGGCGAUGGGAGGUGAGGGAACGGCGCCGCUGAGGCUGAAAUUUCCUCCUCGGUUCGUCAUCGUCGAUCUAGAUCGAAUGGGUACCCCGAGUGGGAAGACCCGUUUUUGAUUAUUUGCUUGCAAAAUAUGGGUGCUGCUCGUGGUGUGUUUUGGGCCGAAAGAAAGUUGUAUAUUCGGUUAUGGUGUAUGAUGAAUAUUUAAAACAAGUUAGUAAGAAAAUAAUUACGGUACAUCAUGAAGAAAAAAAUUCAAAAAAUUAACAAUGAGCCCACUGAUUUUGUGGCUGCCUUCGCCACCGGUUAGUGCACAGUCCAGUGUCGACGAUCUACACAAAUCAUGCCUUGGCGUGGCUGUCGGGCCGGGGAGGACGACUCAACCACACGUCCACAUUUUCAAGUCUGCACUGCCGUCAACCUGACAACAUCCCCACGGCUUGGAUUUGGUCAGUCCCCAGACAGUAACCACUAGGAGCACUCCACUGACAUUCUAAACGUCUGUGUACUUAAAGUCGUAAUAUUAUUCAUGCUGGACUCGUCUUUCUAGUAGCUAGGCUAAAAUAUAUCGACUAAGCUAAUCAAUCCGGAUUGGCAGGCUCUAGUCAAUGCUUUGCCAAAAAUAUAUAUAUGAAAAUGAAGCACUACAGUCAAACCGUGCAAUCUUUGUGAAACGUCCCUUUGCUGGAACAGAUGGGCCAACAAAGACUUGACUAAUUCUUGUCAUCAUCAUCAGAAUGCUCAGGAGUGUACUAACGUUUUCCUGGACCGUGUCUCCUACGCCCCGCCCCGUACGUCGCAUAUAAACCAGAACCAGCGCUGGAUCCGUUAACCCCUCGCACCCAUCAGAUGCCAGCUCCACUUGCGCGCACCGGCGACGGGAGAGCACGACAGCGAGCUGCACGCGCCGGUUGGUCUAGCUCGCUCUAGCCCCACCAUGGCGGCACGUCACCGGCGCCACCGCAUCGAGGCACAGAAGCCAGCAUGGCUCGUCACGAUCAAGGCCGCUCCGCCGGUGCCCGCGAGGGGCGACCCUGCCAAGAAGCUCGCCGCGCCCGCUCGCUCGCCGAUCCUGUUGUCGCCGUCGGCGUGGCAGAGGUGCAUGGCCGUCGGCGACACAGGGGUCGCGCCGGGGUCACCGAGGAUCGGCUGCAUGGGGCAGGUAAAAGGGGCACGGAGAUGCUCGAGGGCGCACGACCCGGCCUCCUCGAGGGGACCGGCGGCGUCGGCCCUCCCGUGCGGCAGCCUGGCGGGGCUGUUCGGGCGGCGGCCGACGGGUAGGAAGUCCCGUGCAUACUGCAAGGUCAGAGACGUGCCAAGCGACUCGUCGUCGUCGUCAGGGAGCGCACGGGCAUCGUCGUCAUCAAGGGCCUGUGCGCCGCGCCCGCUUGAGCUUGCCCCGCCGCUGCCGGUGCCAUCACCGGUGGUGAGACGGCCGGCCUUGGAAGAGAACGCCCCCAGCCUUUGGGAGCGGCGGCGCGGAGGAAAAAGGUCCUGGAAGGUCUCCAGCUAACGUAGGAUCCUUCCAGGUAGUGUUGAGUUGCCGUCUACUGCCAAGGAAAUUCCUCACACUACGUUGAGAACAAGAUAACUAUCUAUUUGUAGGUGUACGCAUAGGGAUACUUGUUAGUACUAGAAGAAAUAUUGACUAUGUAUGUGACAUGAUUUAGACAAGAAAUACAAGAUGUUUGGGAGCUUCACCAUGCAUAGAAAUUGACUUCACCGAUAAAGGGCCUGCAGAUAGCUUGUAUUCAAGCUGAUGAGAAUACCACUAUGGAGUUCCAAUUCACAGCACAUAAUCUGCUGCCAAAUCAUUUGAUGUUUUAUCCCAGACGCAGAUAGGUAACUCGUUCUCAAUUUAGAUAAAAGCUGGCAAGCAUGAGGCAGGCAGAUACAGCAAUGUAUAAUCCUAACCUCUUGGACCAAAGCAACUAUUUGCAAGUUACAAAUCAAGCAAAGUUGGUACAGAUGUAUAGCAGCAGCAAUAAAAAUAGCAAACAACGAUCACGACGACAUGAGCUUCAAGCCAUUGUCCGGCAUUCCCAUUCCACCGGCAAGAUCGGCAUCUAUUUGUGUGUGUGGGGCUGGUCCAGACAACUGCUUGACCCUACAUGAAUCAAAAGGAAGUGAUUAGAUAGGAGACUAAUAUAUAAUGCCCACUUACACACAUCAAGAUCUUUCUACAGCUUCGUAUGUUUCUGUCAAGAUCAAGUUAUUCGUGGAGAAUCAAAGACAUGUUUGAGCUAUGCUUAUGUCUACGAAUUAGAUCCAACAUAAUCAAAGGUCUUUCAUCAGGCUAAAACUCGAGAAACACGGGUCAAUGUUCUUACUUCUUAGCAACUGCAUUACGUUAACACGGUAGAAUUGGCAAUUGAACAUCCAAAACUUGCACGCGAUUCAAAUAAACAGUUACUUCAUCAGCACUGUGCGAGAGAAUUUAGAGCAGAGUCUCCUCUGUUCACCUAUAACAUCAUGCAACAUAGUGCAUGUAUUAGGUUUCUCUUGAUUGAUUGGCAAUCGUAAACACAGUGCAUGUCAUGAGGGAGGAAAGGAACGUCAUAUGCAAGUGUGCUGCACAAGAGGCAUGGCUGUGGGAUGUGCUAGAUUUAGUCACACUGCGCCGAUGUAUUGCUAUUUAAAUUAUCAUUGGCAUAUUUAAAUUAUCUCCCCAAAUCUGAUUCUAAGGACUGGUACUGGGCAUGGGUAUCGACACAAGUGCACCAGCUCAGGGAGUUCUGGUGCAUCAUAUAACUCAGAACAUAAGCUUCAACAAGUUCACUCAGAACAAGGGGAUUACCUCUUCUUGUGGCGCUUUGAGCGGUAGUGAUCCUCCUUCACGGCCUCGUCCGCAAAGUACCGACUGCAGCCACCAGCAGAACAAAUACUAAAUAAUCAGCAGGAAAUAGAGUUGCAUUGCUGUAUGAGAAACUGAAAAAUGAAGCUCCUCACAAGCACAGAACAAAUCAUAGCGUGAUACAGUGAUUCACAAGUACAGUUGCCUGCCUGCCUACGCAUCUUGAUUCAAUUACGGCACUAUCAAAACAACCCAUAGAUCCCCAAGUAUUCAUACAGAGAAACUACAGCUCCCCGUAGCAUAUGUGCAGCGACAUACUUAAAUUUAUGCAACUAAUCACAUCCUAAUUGACCCAGAAACGCCAUACUGUUUUGUUUGCAACAGCAUGUAAAUAGGACCAUCAAAUCUGUGCUUGGAACCGACGGAGGAAAUCGAAGCAGAGUGGUGGUAGAGGGUUGGGAGGCGUACUCGCAGUGGAGGCAGUAGAACUGGCCCAUGCCAGGGAGGUCCUCGUCGACGGGCAGCGGCUUUCCCUCGCAGUCCUUGCCCUGGUCGGCCAGCUUGACGAGCUCGUCGUAGACGGCGUCGUCGGCUUUGACGAGGAACUUGCCGCGGCGCACCGUCUUGCAGUUGAGACGGCGCUUCUUGACCUUGCGGUGCGGGCACUUGCCUCCCAUCGGCGGCGGCGGCGGCUAGGGUUUCGGCUCCGGGGGGAAACGAACCCUGGAGAGCGGAAGUAUGGAGAGAGAG